AGUGGGAUAGCUGGGUCAAAUGGUGGUUCUAUGAGGAAUCUCCAUACUGCUUUCCAGAGUGGUUGCACUAAUUUGCAGUCCCACCAGCAAU
rnacentral:pre_miRNA from 1 species